rnacentral:lncRNA from 10 species
AAGAAGUUGGAAAGCAAAAUACUUUCUUUCCCAGCUGGCCGGCUUCUUGGUGUCUAAGGGGCACAGUUCCGACCAGUGAGACGUGGGCAGACAUCUGCUGAGGAAGUCCUGGAGGUGCUAGCUUUCUUGACACAAGAGAUGGAUGGGGCUGUUGUCUUCCACUUUCUUUCUGCCUUGAACAUGAUGGGAUGAUCGUGUGAAACUGCAGCAACAGUUUUGCAUCUAUGAGGCAACACACGUGCUGGCAAGACCAAGGAAACCCACAGAUACCUACAAAAUGCCAACCCGGGAAUCAUCAGGCUACUCAGACUCCUCUUUAGUUACAGAAAAAAUCUGUUACAA